rnacentral:lncRNA from 10 species
GCCAAAGGCAACUUUUUGGAGAGCAAAUAGUAUGCCACCUGCCUGUUCAAAUGUGCAAUGGUUUUCCGAAGUUCUCAAAGUAAAGCCUGAAAUCCCCAACUUGGCCUAGAAGUCCGGAAUACUUCUGAAACAAACUCUUCCUUCCUGUCCUCUGCCUGUAGCAGAAAAUAGACAAGCCAAGCAGAUGUCCAGAGAUGGCGGAGGAGUACCUCGGCUGCAGCUUCCUUGAGAGAAAACAAACUCAAGGGAGCCUUGGGGGCUGGGGGUAAGAAGAAGAGGACAAGCCCUGCCCAGUCCCAAGAAGUGUUAACAGGCGCUGGAGCUUUAUCUGCGGCUGCACUCGCUUCUCCCUCCUGCAGACAUUCUUGCUGCUUUCCGGUCCCACGGGACGGCUCCCAGGCUCCCGCCUCACGGCAAGAAAAAUAAAGGCCUCCCCGCACAGCCAGCCAGCUUCGUUCAUUCACGUCACCGACAAACACUCCUAGCAGGCGUUGUUAAACGUUCAGGGAGCGCCCGGGACCUAGCCGAGGCCCCCUCCUGGCUGUGCCGCGGGGGGAUGCGCAGCCCCUCGCACCGACUGCGGGAAGGAGAGUGUGGGUGGCCGGCGCGCCCGGUCCAGCUGCCGGCCUCUCGGGAGAACAAUGCGUCUGUCACACAGUGACUGAUAGGGCAGCGAGCGCUGAAAGGGAGGCGCACGUCUGUCCUGUCUUCCCACCAGGCUGGCUUGUGCACCUCCCACUGCUCUUAGGCAAAGAGCCAGCAACAGGGCCCCUGGACGAUUCUUGCAAAGACGUACGCAGUCAAGGCGUAGGAACAGCCAGGGCUGACUUUUGCUGCUGACUACACCCAGGGGGUGGGGAUGCCCAGGCAGAAAUGCAGCCACCGCCUUCACGCAACUCCAGGCCUUGGGUCCUGCCCUCCUCCAGCCGCCCACAGCCCCUCUUUCAGGAGAGGCUGGAGGGCAUGAGGACUGAUAAACUCGCCUGCCAUUGUCUCCAAGGGCGACCCUGCAGGAGGUCAGGCUGCCUGAUUAUCGCUCAGGAAUCCUGCUGUCGGCUAUUCCUGGCUCUGACCCUCACCUGCUCUCUAACCUCAGGCAGUCCCCUUUGACUGCCCUUAUGCUCAAUUUCCCCUUUUCGUCAAUACUCAGAUGCCCUCUGCGACAUAAACCAGGGGCCAUUUGGCAAAAUAUCAGUGACUCCCACCCCUGGGAGAAGGCUAGUGUUUUGAACGAUUCAUUUUAAAGAACAAAAUCCUGUUAAUUACUUUUCAACGUGAAUAUAAGCAUACACACAAUAUACAUAUUCGUAUAUAUUUUCAUAGGAUUCUUUCACA